GGCGAUGAAGGACGUGCUAAUCUGCGAUAAGCGCCGGUAAGGUGAUAUGAACCGUUAUAACCGGCGAUUUCCGAAUGGGGAAACCCAGUGUGACUCGUCACACUAUCAUUAACUGAAUCCAUAGGUUAAUGAGGCGAACCGGGGGAACUGAAACAUCUAAGUACCCCGAGGAAAAGAAAUCAACCGAGAUUCCCCCAGUAGCGGCGAGCGAACGGGGAGGAGCCCAGAGCCUGAAUCAGCAUGUGUGUUAGUGGAAGCGUCUGGAAAGGCGCGCGAUACAGGGUGACAGCCCCGUACACAAAAGCGCAUGUGCUGUGAGCUCGAUGAGUAGGGCGGGACACGUGGUAUCCUGUCUGAAUAUGGGGGGACCAUCCUCCAAGGCUAAAUACUCCUGACUGACCGAUAGUGAACCAGUACCGUGAGGGAAAGGCGAAAAGAACCCCGGCGAGGGGAGUGAAAAAGAACCUGAAACCGUGUACGUACAAGCAGUGGGAGCACCCUUCGGGGUGUGACUGCGUACCUUUUGUAUAAUGGGUCAGCGACUUAUAUUCUGUAGCAAGGUUAACCGAAUAGGGGAGCCGGAGGGAAACCGAGUCUUAAUUGGGCGUUAAGUUGCAGGGUAUAGACCCGAAACCCGGUGAUCUAGCCAUGGGCAGGUUGAAGGUUGGGUAACACUAACUGGAGGACCGAACCGACUAAUGUUGAAAAAUUAGCGGAUGACCUGUGGCUGGGGGUGAAAGGCCAAUCAAACCGGGAGAUAGCUGGUUCUCCCCGAAAGCUAUUUAGGUAGCGCCUCGUGAAUUCAUCUCCGGGGGUAGAGCACUGUUUCGGCUAGGGGGCCAUCCCGGCUUACCAACCCGAUGCAAACUGCGAAUACCGGAGAAUGUUAUCACGGGAGACACACGGCGGGUGCUAACGUCCGUCGUGAAGAGGGAAACAACCCAGACCGCCAGCUAAGGUCCCAAAGUCAUGGUUAAGUGGGAAACGAUGUGGGAAGGCCCAGACAGCCAGGAUGUUGGCUUAGAAGCAGCCAUCAUUUAAAGAAAGCGUAAUAGCUCACUGGUCGAGUCGGCCUGCGCGGAAGAUGUAACGGGGCUAAACCAUGCACCGAAGCUGCGGCAGCGAACGUAUCACCCAAGACAACUUUGCGGAGUUGACGAUUGACGGAGCGAAGCGACGUCAAAGCGUUCAUUAAAGUCGAGUUGGCUUAGGGAUACGUUCGUU
rnacentral:rRNA from 1 species